UACGCACAGGUUCACUGCAUUAUUCAUAUGUUUACAACAAUUUGUGAUUGUUAACACCUUGCCAAAAUCAAAUCAUUAACGGGUGGCAUCCCCCAGAGAUACAAUGCGCAAACAAAAAGUCUAAUAGGCAAACACAUUUUUCUUCAUGCAGGUUUGGUCAUGAACAGUAUUAAAGUUUGGACGAUAACGAGGACAUUAAGUGUGAUAAUUGUGCGAGAGCUUAACGGCUGUCUUUCCAGACUUU